rnacentral:rRNA from 1 species
AGCGGCGAACGGGUGAGUAACACGUAGGUGAUCUGCCCAUCAGACGGGGACAACGAUUGGAAACGAUCGCUAAUACCGGAUAGGACGAAAGUUUAAAGGUGCUUCUGGCACCGCUGAUGGAUGAGCCUGCGGCGCAUUAGCUAGUUGGUAGGGUAAAGGCCUACCAAGGCGACGAUGCGUAGCCGACCUGAGAGGGUGAACGGCCACACUGGGACUGAGACACGGCCCAGACUCCUACGGGAGGCAGCAGUAGGGAAUCUUCGGCAAUGGGCGAAAGCCUGACCGAGCAACGCCGCAUGAAUGAUGAAGGCCUUCGGGUUGUAAAAUUCUGUUAUAAGGGAAGAACGACUUUAGUAGGAAAUGGCUAGAGUGUGACGGUACCUUAUGGGAAAGCCACGGCUAACUACGUGCCAGCAGCCGCGGUAAUACGUAGGUGGCGAGCGUUAUCCGGAAUUAUUGGGCGUAAAGAGCGCGCAGGUGGUUGAUUAAGUCUGAUGUGAAAGCCCACGGCUUAACCGUGGAGGGUCAUUGGAAACUGGUCGACUUGAGUGCAGAAGAGGGAAGUGGAAUUCCAUGUGUAGCGGUGAAAUGCGUAGAGAUAUGGAGGAACACCAGUGGCGAAGGCGGCUUCCUGGUCUGUAACUGACACUGAGGCGCGAAAGCGUGGGGAGCAAACAGGAUUAGAUACCCUGGUAGUCCACGCCAUAAACGAUGAGUGCUAAGUGU